UUUACAUUCUGAAGUUCUUUAUUUAUGUCAAUGAAAGGAAUUUCAUUAUCCUACAAAGUCAUGGACACUUCCACUUCAAAGUAUUACAAUCAGUUCAGUUUUCCAAUAAUCAUAGAGUAAAAGCCUUGCCAUCUUCUUGCCAUGGUUCACAAAACAGAAAAGAGAAGGCAGAGUUCACAAUUAUUCUGAGCGUCCAUGUAUUUACAUUCCUGGACCUGAUACAAUUUAAUUCAAUUCACACUCACUAGCUGGUGUCUGUGUGAAGAUGCCCAUGCCUUAAUCCCUAGAUCCUGGAACAGAGAUACAUGGCCAAAGGGUGUUAAGGCUGCAGGUGGAAUACGGUUGCUAAUUAGAAACCUUAAAUCACAUGAGAUCUUAGGCCAG
rnacentral:lncRNA from 1 species